GCCAGGCAUGGUGGUGCACGCCUGUAAUCCCAGCAGUUUGGGAGGCUGAGGCAGGAGGAUCAUGAGUUCAAAGCCAGUCUUGGCAACUUAGCAAGGCCCUAAGCAACUCAGUGAGACCCUGUCUCUA
rnacentral:sRNA from 1 species